rnacentral:rRNA from 1 species
GAUGAACGCUAGCUACAGGCUUAACACAUGCAAGUCGAGGGGCAGCAGGAUCUAGCAAUAGAUUGCUGGCGACCGGCGCACGGGUGAGUAACACGUAUCCAACCUGCCGAUAACUCGGGGAUAGCCUUUCGAAAGAAAGAUUAAUACCCGAUGGUAUAAUCAGACCGCAUGGUUUGAUUAUUAAAGAAUUUCGGUUAUCGAUGGGGAUGCGUUCCAUUAGGCAGUUGGUGAGGUAACGGCUCACCAAACCUUCGAUGGAUAGGGGUUCUGAGAGGAAGGUCCCCCACAUUGGAACUGAGACACGGUCCAAACUCCUACGGGAGGCAGCAGUGAGGAAUAUUGGUCAAUGGACGCGAGUCUGAACCAGCCAAGUAGCGUGAAGGAUGACUGCCCUAUGGGUUGUAAACUUCUUUUAUAUGGGAAUAAGGUUUUCCACGUGUGGAAUUUUGUAUGUACCAUAUGAAUAAGGAUCGGCUAACUCCGUGCCAGCAGCCGCGGUAAUACGGAGGAUCCGAGCGUUAUCCGGAUUUAUUGGGUUUAAAGGGAGCGUAGGUGGACAGUUAAGUCAGUUGUGAAAGUUUGCGGCUCAACCGUAAAAUUGCAGUUGAUACUGGCUGUCUUGAGUACAGUAGAGGUGGGCGGAAUUCGUGGUGUAGCGGUGAAAUGCUUAGAUAUCACGAAGAACUCCGAUUGCGAAGGCAGCUCACUGGACUGCAACUGACACUGAUGCUCGAAAGUGUGGGUAUCAAACAGGAUUAGAUACCCUGGUAGUCCACACAGUAAACGAUGAAUGCUCGCUGUUUGCGAUAUACAGUAAGCGGCCAAGCGAAAGCAUUAAGUAUUCCACCUGGGGAGUACGCCGGCAACGGUGAAACUCAAAGGAAUUGACGGGGGCCCGCACAAGCGGAGGAACAUGUGGUUUAAUUCGAUGAUACGCGAGGAACCUUACCCGGGCUUAAAUUGCAUUUGAAUAAUCUGGAAACAGGUUAGCCGCAAGGCAAAUGUGAAGGUGCUGCAUGGUUGUCGUCAGCUCGUGCCGUGAGGUGUCGGCUUAAGUGCCAUAACGAGCGCAACCCUUAUCUUUAGUUACUAACAGGUCAUGCUGAGGACUCUAGAGAGACUGCCGUCGUAAGAUGUGAGGAAGGUGGGGAUGACGUCAAAUCAGCACGGCCCUUACGUCCGGGGCUACACACGUGUUACAAUGGGGGGUACAGAAGGCAGCUACCUGGUGACAGGAUGCUAAUCCCAAAAGCCUCUCUCAGUUCGGAUCGAAGUCUGCAACCCGACUUCGUGAAGCUGGAUUCGCUAGUAAUCGCGCAUCAGCCAUGGCGCGGUGAAUACGUUCCCGGGCCUUGUACACACCGCCCGUCAAGCCAUGAAAGCCGGGGGUACCUGAAGUACGUAACCGCAAGGAGCGUCCUAGGGUAAAACUG